ensembl:lncRNA
ACCCAAACCUAAGCAUCUCAAGGCUCCCACCUAAACAUAACCAGUGUUAAGCUUAUGUCUAAACCCAACCUUUCAGUUUGGCAAGCCAGUCACAUACUAGUCAUAACCCAAGCGGUGUUAUCAUGAUUUGAACUGCUCAGGCUCUUCGGGGUAGUGCACUUCUCUUACUCCAAACAGGGGACUGUAGAAAAUAUAUCCUAUUUAUAAGAGCCAACUUGUGGAAACAUUUUUAGCAACAAGUACCCACUGUCCUUGAAAAAAGAGCUGGCAACAUUGCCACAGUGUUGCAUGUAGUCAGCUGGUAGCGAGACAGAUAACACAGUUUCUAUAAUCAGUGUUUAAACAAAUUAUUUGCUUAAGGGUUGAACGCCAGUUUUAGGAAGGAUGGCAGCUGCAGGAAGCAGCAGUGACUGUGCAGCUCUGUUUUUACUGUCGGAUGAGACGGAUCGCCUGUUUGUAAGGCACAAGAAGAAGAAAGAGAGGGAAAUUUAAGGCAUGCAUAUGGAAAACUUCAACAUUUCUACAUUAACAGAGCAGUCAUAAAGCAAGUGAUUCUAAUAUCCACGCUGGCAUUUCAAAAGCCCUGGAAAUUUUUCAAGUGUGGACAGUAAGACUUAGUUGUCUCUUAGACGCGUUUCUAUUAAAACGUGCUUCCGUAAAUGCAUUUCAAGAGAACUUGGAUCACAAUCACAACAUUUUGAUUGUUUAGCAGCUCAGCUAUCUGCUCAUUUAAUUCCAAUAAUGCUGACAUUCAGAGGAUAUGGCAGCAGCGUCAUUCAUGCUACCUGCCUCAGGCUGUGAAGAACAUUAUCUCAUUUCAAAACAGCAGAGGAUGAGGAACGCAGAUGGACUGAGCAAAUGAUUGUUUCAAAAGGAGCGUUCGAAAAGAGGCGAAUGCGGACGUCAAAACCCUGCAGUCGUGAUUGCAAAACAAGACGGCCCCUGCUGAUGCUGACUUUUGCUCCGCCUGCUUUUUCUUUACCCUUCAACACUGCAUAAAUUUCAGAUUAGUGCUACACAACGUGAACAAAGAGCAGGACUGCUGCCGCGUGUGUUGUCUUCCAAAGCGCAGGCUACAUCCCAGAGGCGUCCCCGACAAUAAUCCUCAAAGAGAAUUGCUGAUGAAUAGAGUGACAAACCGUGCGUCAUCCACUGACACUAAAGACCACAAGCAACAGGAAGUGACUGCACCUUUCAGACACCUGGAAACCAAUGAACAGCCACAACCUGUGGGAGAGAACUCUUCUACAGCCAAUCACAGUCCAUCUGGGAGCGACUGCAAUCACUCAGAUAAUUACAGUAUAUCUAAAUUAUAAAUUCAGAGAGAUUGCCAACACACUGCAAUCAGUUUGAGUCGGUCUGUGCAAUGGCAGCUCAUCUCUUUGCAAUAGGAAUGCAAGUUUCUGGUUGGACACUGAAGUAGUUAAUGUGAAUUUCUGCUUAAUGGGAUUAUCUAUGUAUGUAGACAUCAGAUUUUCAAUUUUGAAUGAUGUAUUAAGAGUAAAACUGCUGUAUUAUCACAAACAGAUUGCAUGCUAUUAUCAACUUGACCCCAUUCAAACACAAACUGAUCGCAGACUCCAUCUUUUAUCAUCUUCCUGAUGCAUCCAAGUUACUUUGAGGAGGACAACUGAGUGAUCACAGACCUGGUCCCUGUCUUUGAAGCAAUCAUUUCAAAUGCAACGAGACUACAAGUCCAUUGUUUCCCUAGUGCUUAAUAUCCAAUCUGCCCACAUUGGAUCUUUGGGUUCUCGAGUUGUUCCUAUUCCAGGGAUGAAAAAAUGACUAUGUUUUGUAAAAUCCACUCUUUGUCCUUUGUGACAUACAAAGUUAUAGAAUUAGUGACACAGAGCUACAAUCAUUAUUCUCAAACGGGCGAGUUGCUGUUCUGAAAGGGUGUAUUUUAACUCACCCUAUGAUCUUUUACGAGAGUGAA